GACGAACGCUGGCGGCGUGCCUAAUACAUGCAAGUCGAGCGGACGGAUGGGAGCUUGCUCCCAGACCGUCAGCGGCGGACGGGUGAGUAACACGUGGGCAACCUGCCUGUAAGACUGGGAUAACUCCGGGAAACCGGGGCUAAUACCGGAUAACUCUUUCGCUCACAUGAGGGAAAGCUGAAAGAUGGCAUCUCGCUAUCACUUACAGAUGGGCCCGCGGCGCUUUAGCUGGUUGGUGAGGUAACGGCUCACCAAGGCGACGAUGCGCAGCCGACCUGAGGGGCUGAUCGGCCACACUGGGACUGAGCCGCGGCCCAGACUCCUGCGGGAGGCAGCAGUAUGGAAUCUUCCGCAAUGGUCGAAAGUCUGACGGAGCAACGCCGCGUGAGUGGUGGAGGUGUUCGGAUCGUAAAACUCUGUUGUCAGGGAAGAACAAGUACCGGAGUAACUGCCGGUACCUUGACGGUACCUGGCCAGAAAGCCACGGCUAACUACGUG
rnacentral:rRNA from 1 species